UGCUUGGUAGCUCAGUUGGUAGAGCACUUGCCUCCGAAAAGCAAAGAUCCUGAGUUCGAGUCUCGGUUAGGCAU